GGCCACAAGGUAACGCCGGUUCACAAGGACCCCCAGGACCAACUGGGAGGAGAGGAACAAGGGGGAAGGAUGCAUCCAGGGAGGUGAACCUGGUUCUAGGAGACGAAGGCUUGACUGGAGAUCAGGGCCGCCCGGGACAAAAAGGACCCCCAGGGGCCCGUGCGAGACCUGGAAUCCCAGGUGUGAAGGGGAGUGAAGGGCAGGCGGGUAACCAAGGAUCACAAGGUCGUCCUGGACUGAAAGGGGAUCAGGGAGGCCGAGGAUUCCGGG